rnacentral:snoRNA from 1 species
AGCACUUGAGUAUGGUUUUGUUCAGCUGGUGGACAAAGGCAGGCUAGACAGGUGCAACAGUAAAUCCUCUUUUGCAACCCAGAACUCAUUGUUCAGUAUGAGUUUUGAUACAUACAAGAAGGAAUAUA